UGGGGAAUAUUGCACCAUGGAGGGAACUCUGAUGCAGCGACGCCGCGUGAGUGAUGAAGGAAUUCGUUUCGUAAAACUCUGUUCUAUGGGAAGAAAAGGACUGUACCAUAGGAGAAAGCUCCGGCUAAAUACGUGCCAGCAGCCGCGGUAAUACGUAUGGAGCGAGCGUUGUCCGGAAUUAUUGGGCGUAAAGGGUGCGCAGGCGGCUUUACAAGUUGGAUGUGAAAUAUUGUGGCUCAACCACAAACGUGCAUCCAAAACUGCAAAGCUUGAGUUAAGGAGAGGUAAGUGGAAUUCCUGGUGUAGCGGUGGAAUGCGUAGAUAUCAGGAGGAAUACCGGUGGCGAAGGCGACUUACUGGACUUAAACUGACGCUCAGGCACGAAAGCGUGGGGAGCAAACAGG
rnacentral:rRNA from 1 species